AUCCAGAUGACCAGUCAUAAAUAGGACGAAACAUGUGUCAAACUGGAU
rnacentral:hammerhead_ribozyme from 1 species